rnacentral:rRNA from 1 species
UAAAGGGCAGCAGUGGGGAAGUAUUGCACAAUGGGCGAAAGCCUGAUGCAGCUAUGCCGCGUGUAUGAAGAAGGCCUUAGGGGUUGUAAAGUACUUUCAUCGGGGAGGAAAAACAAAACUAAUAAUUUUAUUUCUUGACGUUACCCGAAAAAGAAGCACCGGCUAACUCCGUGCCAGCAGCCGCGGUAAUACGGAGGGGUGCGUAGCGUUAAUCAGAAUUACUGGGCGUAAAGAGCACGUAGGUGGUUUUUUUAAGUCAGAUAGUGAAAUCCCUGGGCUUAACCUGGAACUGCUAAUUUGAAACUGAAAUACUAGAGUAUCGUAGAGGGAGGUAGAAUUCUAGGUGUAGCGGUGAAAUGCGUAGAUAUCUGGAGGAAUACCUGGUGGCGAAAGCGGCCUCCUAAACGAUACUGACACUGGGAGGGUGCGGAAAGCGGGUGGGGAGCAAAACGAGGAUUAGACUACC